UAAUUACAUGAACUUCAAUGAUUAUUCUCUAAUUAUGUCUGAGUUAUGUUGUAACUUCUUCAUAUAUUUGUUGUAAUAAUUUAAGAUUUAUUCUUAACUUUUUGAGAAAAAGGAAUUGAAGUCUUUGACAAACUCUAUAAGUGUAUCUAUUUCAAUAUAUCUUGGUUUAAAGUAUGAUUCACUGUUUAUGUUUUGUUGUCACCUUGAAAUUUUAUUGUGACUAAUUUACUUAACAUAACAUGGAUCGGUAUAUAUUUUUUGUGCAUGUGCCUUUGACAAAUUUACUGAUAUGAUUAAAUAUUGAUGUAUUCUUAUGACUUAUCAGUAUGAUUAUUGAUGUAUUCUUAUGACUUAUUAGUAUUAUUGAAAUCAUAAAAUGUUUAAGAAGAAAAAAAUACAAAAAGAAAAUCAUAUAUCAUAUUUCUUUGGAGGUACUGCAAUUGGAAUAGCAGCUGGUCUAUUAGCUGGAAAAUUAUUUUUAAAUACAUCGGUUGAACAAAAUCAAAAGUUUGGAUCUGAAAUUCUUGUCAAUAAAAAUAUAAAGGAAAAUUCUCAAGAUGAUAACAUUCAUAAUAAAUAUUUGACUAAAAACGAUUGUACUGUUUCUAAAAGUACUGCUCAAUACAAUGAUAACAACUAUGCAGAGAAGUCACUGCCUCCAAUUUUUUCAAACACAGUUGACAAUGAAUUAAAAUAUAAUAUGAAUAAUCUUAAUUCGAACUGCAAAUAUGACAAAGAUAAUGGAGUCUUUUGUGAUAAAAAUUGUACUCUUUUUAAUAUAAGUAUAGAAGAUAAUAAUAAAUAUAACACAUCUACUAAUAUUUUCUCAGAAAAUGUUAAGGAGAAAACAAAGAAUAAUAGUUAUUUUAAGUUUGAAGAUAUUAAACAGGCAUCUUCAUGUGUUGCUCAACUAGAAAAUACUGUAAACAUUAAAGAUGAAAAUUUAUUGAAAGCAGCAAAUGAAAAAAGAAUAUUGAUAACUGGAAGUAUCGAUAAAAGUAUAGAAUUGACAGAUACAUUUAAUAAUUUAUCUAUCAAUUUCAAUGAGGAUAGUACUACGUACAAAAAUCUUCCACAUAUAGAAAGUUUUGCGACUAGUUCAAACAUUUCAUCAAAUUACAUAGAUAAUGCUAGUAAUAUGGCUACGUGUAACGAUACUACAUAUUCUGAUAAUGAAGAACGAGAUAUUUUGAAUUUUACUUUCAUGGAAGAAUUUUGUGAAACCGGUAUAAUUUCAUCUACGAAAUACAACAAUUUCGAUGAUAUCUAAAAGAACUUUUAAAUAUAACUAAGUUAAGAGUUCAAGCUAGUAAGUUAAAUUAAGAUUCGAAGCUAGUAUUUAAUUUGAAUAUUUUCCUUUAUUUUAGAUGUGUAUUAAUUAAGAAAAAUAUGUAUCUUAUAUAAGAGAGUGAACAAAUAAAUAAUUUAAUACAAUUAUAUUAUGUGCGUAUUUAUGUUUUUUAUGUGUGCUAAAUUUGAAUUGAAGUCGUUCAUUGGUGUAAUGAUAUUCAAUGUCAUUUCCAAAUAAUGGAUUGGUUGAUCUUGUACACACGCCACGCCUACGCUCUACGUUAUGGCGGCGCCUCAGAGAAAUGAAAUACACAUUCUGUUGUGUGGAACGGACUAUGCUUUGUAAUGAAGUCAGUGUUUGUGAUAUUUUUGAAAACUGAUGCUGUUCGUCGCACGCGUUUAGAACGUGAUAGAUUAUAAGGAAACUUCGAAGUAACUUCAACGUCAAACCAUGCAAGUUAAUUAAUUUACUGCAGUGAAUAUGAGUUUCCUAUAGUGUGUCAUUGACUCGAGACGAAGUGUCAAAAUCGACUUGGUUUCGUGCUAUGUAAAAAUUUCAUCGAGACAACAGUUGCCAACAAUUUCAUUUAUUAAACAUUAGUCGAUCAUUUCAAAUCAAACUUGACUAAUAUAUUUAUCAGCCACUUAUCGUUACCAAAUAGAAACUUUACUGCUAGCGUGAGUUCCACGGAAAUGAAAAGAUGUUUUUGAGUGCAUAUUGAAGUUAAGAAUCUUAAACAUCAUGGCGCA